rnacentral:hammerhead_ribozyme from 1 species
CUCAGUUGAUGGGUCGCAAAUAAGACGAAACGCGAGUCCUAGAU